AUGAAGAGUUAUUCAAUCAGAAGAGGCGCUCCGUUCCGUUCCACAGUUACUGAGCAGCCAUAUCAGUUCCUGCCCGUUUUUAGAAGGCGGUUCUUCGCAGCGGCAGAGCCCAGUGACCGAUACCAACCAACAGCUCCGCCCUCGGAGCCGCGUUAUCGCUUUCUCACUAACAACUUACAGCCAACUUGUUGUCCAACACGAAAGCAUGACGGGAGGGAAGGAAGGAAGCACCAUCAGCCUUACCCACAAAGUCCCGUUUCAAAGUUACAAACGCGGAGCUCGGCUGUCAGCACACGGAGCUACGUGCGGCUCUGGCGAUGCUGCUCAGCGCUCACCGAGAGCCCAAGCCCACACACCGGAGCCCGUACACCGGGAGCCCCACACACCACACACCAGCCGCCCGCUUCCCGCCGGACGGAGCUUUGUUCGCCGCUCGGCUCCACCCUCUUCUCAUGCAGAGUUGUAAGAUCUCACACUGUUAUCCGCCCACUUCCAUCAAAUGGUGUAGCAGUGCAUAACGCAUGAGUCAACCACGGCAUGCUUCAGGAAAGCCUGUGAUAAAUCCAGCAUGAGACACAUGAGCAAGCUGUAUGUUUUGAAGCUACAAUAUUUACUGGGAACUGGGGGCACGACAAGCUACAGAGAGGGACUGCCUGUUUCAAACUGUAACUGUGAUUAUGGUUACUUUCAGGUAUAGCCCAAGGAUGUGCUACGUGACUGCAGCUGCAUAGGUCACUCCUUCAUAAACUUGGCACUCUCAAAACAUUGAGGAAUGCCAGAAAACAUAAAUUUCUGCUUUCUUUGUACUUCUCUUUCUAAAAGGAGUAGUUCUUGUUUUAUAUUGCUAAUUUCUUCUAUUUUGUUUAAUUAAUCUCUGCAUAUUAUUUACUUAAACAGAAGCUGAUUAGUGUUUUUAAGAUAUAUCUGAGUGCUUUUAUCAUUUAAUGUUAUUUAAAUAUGCAGCGUGCUGAGAGUUGGAAAAGGAAUAUUUAAAAUUAUGUACUGAAUUUUAAAUAACCAAUUCCUACUAUACUUCAUAUAAGGUCUUGUCUUUUCUUUCCCUUUUUUGACAGAGGAAUAUACACAUUAAUAUUUUCAAGGGACUAGGUAAACUGUACCUUCCUGGUAUAUCUUACAAUACUUCAGCUACCUGAAGCAAUUGUUAAGUGUGAAUUCAUUGUUUUGACUUCUUUAGUUUAUGUCCUAGUUUAUGUUUUAGUUUUAUUAGAAAGGAGUAACAAAUUAGGCAUGUCUAGGUGUUACUAUGGAAGUGAAGAAACCCUAUGAAAUUAAGCCACUCUGAGGCCUGUCACAUGGUAGGAUUAAUAGGUAUUUUGUUAUUUAUGUGUUGACUCCUAAGGUUUACCAUACAGCUGAAGUCUAUAUACAGAAACACUCCUUCCACUGGAUACCUGCACUCUCUUACAUUAAUAGACUUACAAAACAAGAUUUUUCCCUCUUUUUUUUUUUUUUUUUUUUUUUUUUUUUUUUUUUAAAAUGUACCCUGGGGGAUGAAAACAUCACA
rnacentral:lncRNA from 1 species